AAAAUCUGCUACAUUUUGGUCCA
rnacentral:snRNA from 1 species